rnacentral:rRNA from 1 species
AACUAACGCUGGCGGCGUGCCUAACACAUGCAAGUCGAACGAGAAGCCCGCAAGGGUUGUAAAGUGGCGGACGGGUGCAUAACACGUGGGUAAUCUACCCUUUGGUCUGAGAUAACCUGCCGAAAGGCGGGCUAAUACCGGAUAAGACCACGGCUCUGAGGAGCUGUGGGAAAAGGCCCGCAAGGGUCGCCGAUCGAUGAGCCCGCGGCCUAUCAGGUAGUUGGUGAGGUAAUGGCNCACCAAGCCUACGACGGGUAGCUGGUCUGAGAGGACGACCAGCCACACUGGAACUGAGACACGGUCCAGACUCCUACGGGAGGCAGCAGUGGGGAAUAUUGGACAAUGGGGGAAACCCUGAUCCAGCGACGCCGCGUGUGUGAAGAAGGCCUGCGGGUUGUAAAGCACUUUAGUGGGGAUG